UACGUAGGGUGCAAGCGUUAAUCGGAAUUACUGGGCGUAAAGCGUGCGCAGGCGGUUUUGGAAGUCUGACGUGAAAUCCCCGGGCUUAACCUGGGAAUGGCGUUGGAGACUGCAAGGCUGGAAUCUGGCAGAGGGGGGUAGAAUUCCACGUGUAGCAGUGAAAUGCGUAGAGAUGUGGAGGAACACCGAUGGCGAAGGCAGCCCCCUGGGCUAAGAUUGACGCUCAUGCACGAAAGCGUGGGGAGCAAACAGG
rnacentral:rRNA from 1 species